UAGGGAAUCUUCCGCAAUGGGCGAAAGCCUGACGGAGCAACGCCGCGUGAGUGAUGAAGGUUUUCGGAUCGUAAAGCUCUGUUGCCAGGGAAGAACGUCCGCUAGAGUAACUGCUAGCGGAGUGACGGUACCUGAGAAGAAAGCCCCGGCUAACUACGUGCCAGCAGCCGCGGUAAUACGUAGGGGGCAAGCGUUGUCCGGAAUUAUUGGGCGUAAAGCGCGCGCAGGCGGCUGUUUAAGUCUGGUGUUUAAACCCAGGGCUCAACCUUGGGUCGCACCGGAAACUGGACGGCUUGAGUGCAGAAGAGGAAAGUGGAAUUCCACGUGUAGCGGUGAAAUGCGUAGAGAUGUGGAGGAACACCAGUGGCGAAGGCGACUUUCUGGGCUGUAACUGACGCUGAGGCGCGAAAGCGUGGGGAGCAAACA
rnacentral:rRNA from 1 species